rnacentral:rRNA from 1 species
UUUAGGAUGUUAAUUUUUGUACUGGAGUAGUAUUAGUUAUGUUCUUGAAACUUAAAGAAUUUGGCGGUAUCUUAUUCCGUUCAGAGGAACCUGUCUCGUUAUCGAUAGUCCGCGUUGGACCUUACUUGGAUUGCUAUGGUUUGUAUACCGCCGUUUGUUUGAUUAUGCUUUUAGGGUUUUUAAUUUUCUGGUUUCUUUAUUUUGAUUUAUUUCAGGUCAAGGUGCAGCUUGUUUCUAAGUGUUAUUGAUGGGUUACAUUGAUUUUUGUUUAUUUGGAUUGUUAGUUGAUAUUAUUAAUAUGAAAUUGGAUUUGAUUGUAAUGUUUUGUAGAUUGUUAUCGUGAUAUUUGGUUCUAAGAUAUGU